rnacentral:rRNA from 1 species
AUAAUCUAUUCGUAGUAAAGUGGGGGACUUUCGAGCCUCACGCUAUCAGAUGAGCCUGCGUAAGAUUAGCUUGUUGGUAGGGUAAAAGCCUACCAAGGCGACGAUCUUUAGCUGGUCUGAGAGGAUGAUCAGCCACAUCGGGACUGAGACACGGCCCGAACUCCUACGGGAGGCAGCAGUGGGGAAUAUUGGACAAUGGGGGCAACCCUGAUCCAGCAGUACCGCGUGUGUGAAGAAGGCCUGAGGGUUGUAAAGCACUUUCAAUUGUGAAGAAAAGUUAGCGGUUAAUAACCGUUAGCCUUGACGUUAACUUUAGAAGAAGCACCGGCUAACUCCGUGCCAGCAGCCGCGGUAAUACGGAGGGUGCAAGCGUUAAUCGGAAUUACUGGGCGUAAAGCGUGCGUAGGUGGUUUAUUAAGUCAGAUGUGAAAGCCCCGGGCUUAACCUGGGAACUGCAUUUGAAACUGGUCAACUAGAGUAUGGUAGAGGAAAGUGGAAUUUCUGGUGUAGCGGUGAAAUGCGUAGAUAUCAGAAGGAACAUCAAUGGCGAAGGCAGCUUUCUGGACCAAUACUGACACUGAGGUACGAAAGCGUGGGUAGCAAACAGGGUUAGAUACCCUGGUAGUCCACGCCGUAAACGAUGAUAACUAGCCGUUGGGGGGAUUUACCCUUUAGUGGCGAAGCUAACGCGUUAAGUUAUCCGCCUGGGGAGUACGGCCGCAAGGUUAAAACUCAAAGGAAUUGACGGGGACCCGCACAAGCGGUGGAGCAUGUGGUUUAAUUCGAUGCAACGCGAAGAACCUUACCUGGUCUUGACAUCCUGCGAACUUUCUAGAAAUAGAUUGGUGCCUUCGGGAACGCAGUGACAGGUGCUGCAUGGCUGUCGUCAGCUCGUGUCGUGAGAUGUUGGGUUAAGUCCCGUAACGAGCGCAACCCCUAUCCUUAUUUGCCAGCACAUCAUGGUGGGAACUAUAAGGAGACUGCCGGUGAUAAACCGGAGGAAGGCGGGGACGACGUCAAGUCAUCAUGGCCCUUACGACCAGGGCUACACACGUGCUACAAUGGGAAGGACAAAGAGCCGCGAAGCCGCGAGGUGUAGCUAAUCUCAUAAACCUUUUCGUAGUCCGGAUUGGAGUCUGCAACUCGACUCCAUGAAGUCGGAAUCGCUAGUAAUCGUAGAUCAGAAUGCUACGGUGAAUACGUUCCCGGGUCUUGUACACACCGCCCGUCAUACCAUGGGAGUGGGUUGCACCAGAAGUGGCUAGUCUAACUUAGUGAGGACGG